AGUUAAAAAGCUCGUAGUUGGAUCUCGGCGGGCAGGGGGUGGUUCGCUCUUCAGCGCUACUGCCCCGCUUUGCCCGUGUGAUUGGCGGAGGUUUCGGGGUGCUCUUCGUUGAGUGACCCGGAGCGCUGUCAGGUUUACUUUGAAAAAAUUAGAGUGCUCAAAGCAGGCUUUUCACGCUUGAAUAUUCGUGCAUGGAAUAAUAGAAUAGGAACUCGUUUCUAUUUUGUUGGUUUUCGGAAAUCGAGUUAAUGAUUAAUAGGGACAAUUGGGGGCAUUAGUAUUCAGACGACAGAGGUGAAAUUCUUGGACCGUCUGAAGACUAACUACUGCGAAAGCAUUUGCCAAGAGUGUUUUCAUUAAUCAAGAACGAAAGUUAGAGGUUCGAAGGCGAUCAGAUACCGCCCUAGUUCUAACCAUAAACGAUGCCAGCUAGCGAUCUGCCGAGUUUUUUUUGUAGGCUCCGCAGGAAGCUUUCGGGA
rnacentral:rRNA from 1 species